UGCCAGCCGCCGCGGUAACACGGGGGGCGCAAGCGUUAUUCGGAAUUAUUGGGCGUAAAGGGCGCGCAGGCGGAAAGGUAAGUCAGAUGUGAAAUCCCGGGGCUCAACCCCGGAACUGCAUCUGAAACUGUUUUUCUAGAGGAUAGGCGGAGAAAGCGGAAUUCCACGUGUAGCGGUGAAAUGCGUAGAUAUGUGGAAGAACACCUGUGGCGAAAGCGGCUUUCUAGCUUAUUCCUGACGCUGAGGCGCGAAAGCAAGGGGAGCAAACAGGAUUAGAUA
rnacentral:rRNA from 1 species